UACAGAGGGUGCGAGCGUUGUCCGGGAUCACUGGGCGUAAAGGGCGCGUAGGCGGCCCGGUAAGGUUGCGGUGAAAGCCCGGGGCUCAACCCCGGGUCGGCCGUGGCAACUGCUGGGCUGGAGCACAGUAGAGGCGGGUGGAAUUCCGGGUGUAGCGGUGGAAUGCGUAGAGAUCCGGAAGAACACCGGUGGCGAAGGCGGCCCGUUGGGCUGUUGCUGACGCUGAGGCGCGACAGCGUGGGGAGCAAACAGG
rnacentral:rRNA from 1 species